rnacentral:rRNA from 1 species
GACGAACGCUGGCGGCGUGCCUAAUACAUGCAAGUCGAACGAGAGCGACCGGUGCUUGCACUGGUCAAUCUAGUGGCGAACGGGUGAGUAACACGUGGGUAACCUGCCCAUCAGAGGGGGAUAACAUCCGGAAACGGAUGCUAAAACCGCAUAGGUCUUCGAGCCGCAUGGCUUGAAGAGGAAAAGAGGCGCAAGCUUCUGCUGAUGGAUGGACCCGCGGUGCAUUAGCUAGUUGGUGAGGUAACGGCUCACCAAGGCCGUGAUGCAUAGCCGACCGGAGAGGGUGAUCGGCCACAUUGGAACUGAGACACGGCCCAAACUCCUACGGGAGGCAGCAGUAGGGAAUCUUCCGCAAUGGACGCAAGUCUGACGGAGCAACGCCGCGUGAGUGAAGAAGGUUUUCGGAUCGUAAAACUCUGUUGUUAGGGAAGAACAAGUGCUAGAGUAACUGUUAGCGCCUUGACGGUAUCUAACCAGAAAGCCACGGCUAACUACGUG